UAUUUGGUUACUAAGAUAUCUAGUGGCGACGGGUGAGUAACACGUGAGCAACUACCUUAGAGAGAGGGAUAGCUUCUGGAAACGGAUGGUAAUACCUCAUAACAUAACUGAACCGCAUGAUUUAGUUAUCAAAGAUUUAUCACUCUGAGAUGGGCUCGCGUCUGAUUAGAUAGUUGGUGAGGUAACGGCUCACCCAAGUCGACGAUCAGUAGCCGGACUGAGAGGUUGAACGGCCACAUUGGGACUGAGACACGGCCCAGACUCCUACGGGAGGCAGCAGUGGGGAAUAUUGCACAAUGGGGGAAACCCUUGAUGCAGCGAUGCCGCGUGGAGGAAGAAGGUUUUCGGAUUGUAAACUCCUGUCUUAAAGGACGAUAAUGACGGUACUUUAGGAGGAAGCUCCGGCUAACUACGUGCCAGCCGCCGC
rnacentral:rRNA from 1 species